rnacentral:rRNA from 1 species
AAAAGAAACCAACAGGGAUUCCCCUAGUAACGGCGAGUGAAGCGGGAACAGCUCAAAUUUGAAAUCUGGCCUUCGGGUCCGAAUUGUAAUUUGCAGAGGAUGCUUUUGGUUAGGUACUUUCCGAGUUCCCUGGAACGGGACGCCUUAGAGGGUGAGAGCCCCGUACGGUUGGAUACCGAGCCUUUGUAAAGCUCCUUCGACGAGUCGAGUAGUUUGGGAAUGCUGCUCUAAAUGGGAGGUAAAUUUCUUCUAAAGCUAAAUACCGGCCAGAGACCGAUAGCGCACAAGUAGAGUGAUCGAAAGAUGAAAAGCACUUUGAAAAGAGGGUUAAAUAGCACGUGAAAUUGUUGAAAGGGAAGCGUUUAUGACCAGACUUUUUCCAGGCGGAUCAUCCGGUGUUCUCACCGGUGCACUUCGUCUGGUUGAGGCCAGCAUCGGUUUUCGUAGAGGGAUAAAAGCUUUAGGAAUGUGGUUCCCCUGGGAAUGUUAUAGCCUAUUGUAUAAUACCUUUAUGGGGACCGAGGUUCGCGCAUCUGCAAGGAUGCUGGCGUAAUGGUCAUCAACGACCCGUCUUGAAACACGGACCAAGGAGUCGAACAUUUGUGCGAGUGUUUGGGUGUUAAACCCUCACGCGUAAUGAAAGUGAACGGAGGUGAGAGCCCUUACGGGUGCAUCAUCGACCGAUCCUGAUGUUUUCGGAUGGAUUUGAGUAAGAGCAUAACUGUUCGGACCCGAAAGAUGGUGAACUAUGCGUGGAUAGGGUGAAGCCAGAGGAAACUCUGGUGGAGGCUCGCAGCGGUUCUGACGUGCAAAUCGAUCGUCAAAUCUGCGCAUGGGGGCGAAAGACU